rnacentral:rRNA from 1 species
CAGUGCCGCGGGAAUACGAGGGGGGCAAGCGUUGUUCGGAAUUAUUGGGCGUAAAGGGUGCGUAGGCGGUUUGGCAAGUUUGGUGUGAAAUCUUCGGGCUCAACUCGAAGUCUGCAUCGAAAACCGCCGGGCUUGAGUAUGGGAGAGGUGAGUGGAAUUUCCGGUGUAGCGGUGAAAUGCGUAGAUAUCGGAAGGAACACCUGUGGCGAAAGCGGCUCACUGGACCAUAACUGACGCUGAUGCACGAAAGCUAGGGGAGCAAACAGGAUUAGAUACCCCGGUAGUCCCUGUCUCUUAUACA